AACGAACGCUGGCGGCAGGCUUAACACAUGCAAGUCGAACGCGUGCAGCAAUGCUCGAGUGGCGCACGGGUGAGUAACGAGUGGAUAUCUGCCUUUUGGUUCGGAAUAACCCCGGGAAACUGGGGCUAAUACCGGAUGGUUCCUACGGGAUAAAGAUUUAUCGCCAAAAGAUGAGUCCGCGUCCGAUUAGCUAGUUGGUGAGGUAAUGGCUCACCAAGGCGACGAUCGGUAGCUGGUCUGAGAGGACGAUCAGCCACACUGGGACUGAGACACGGCCCAGACUCCUACGGGAGGCAGCAGUGGGGAAUAUUGGACAAUGGGGGCAACCCUGAUCCAGCCAUGCCGCGUGAGUGAUGAAGGCCUUCGGGUUGUAAAGCUCUUUUGGCGGGGACGAUGAUGACGGUACCCGCAGAAUAAGCCCCGGCUAACUUCGUG
rnacentral:rRNA from 1 species